rnacentral:tRNA from 1 species
CGCAGGCAGGGCAAUCGGUAAGCCGCGUGGCUCAUAACCACGAAGAACCGGGUUCGAUUCCCGGGCCUGCAACCA